rnacentral:rRNA from 1 species
UUGAACGCUAGCGGGAUGCCUUACACAUGCAACGUCGAACGGCAGCACGGACUUCGGUCUGGUGGCGAGUGGCGAACGGGUGAGUAAUGUAUCGGAACGUGCCUAGUAGCGGGGGAUAACUACGCGAAAGCGUAGCUAAUACCGCAUACGCCCUACGGGGGAAAGCAGGGGAUCGCAAGACCUUGCACUAUUAGAGCGGCCGAUAUCGGAUUAGCUAGUUGGUGGGGUAACGGCUCACCAAGGCGACGAUCCGUAGCUGGUUUGAGAGGACGACCAGCCACACUGGGACUGAGACACGGCCCAGACUCCUACGGGAGGCAGCAGUGGGGAAUUUUGGACAAUGGGGGAAACCCUGGUCCAGCCAUCCCGCGUGUGCGAUGAAGGCCUUCGGGUUGUAAAGCACUUUUGGCAGGAAAGAAACGUCGCGGGUUAAUACCCCGCGGAACUGACGGUACCUGCAGAAUAAGCACCGGCUAACUACGUGCCAGCACGCCGCGGUAAUACGUAGGGUGCAAGCGUUAAUCGGAAUUACUGGGCGUAAAGCGUGCGCAUGCGGUUCGGAAAGAAAGAUGUGAAAUCCCUUACUUAACUUUGGAACUGCCUUUUUUAGCUACCUUGCUA